CCAGAAGUCCCUGUUCUGAUGGGUUUUAUAUUCUAGUAUAAUUGUACUAGAGAAAGCCUUCUCUGAAAAGGUGACUUUUGAGCUGAGUCUUGACCAGUGAGAAAGAAGAGCUGCUGGGCAGAGAGAUCAGUGAUGAACAAGUCCGGGAAGUCAUUUUUAAGGGCAUUGUGAUCACAACCAAGAACAUCAAAAAGCUUUGUCUUGGUGGAGUUUGGAAAUCGCUGGUCAUUAUGCCCACUUAGAAGCAGAUCCUUUGAGCUGCACAAACUAAAAAAAGCAAAGAAAGAAGAGAGUGACAUCAUCUGCGUUUCGUGGGCCUGCCCUCCUUUGGAAAUAUUAUUGCCUUUGGUCUCCUUCAUCGCCCACAAGAACAACAGCAGACAUUUCAGGGGGAAAGUUGGGGGCUCUUAGCAAAGGGUUGUUUUCCAUCUGUCAUCAGUUUGGAUUUUGCAUAUCAAUAAAAAAUUAAUAAACUAAUUUCAGGCAUAUAUGACACGGCUAAUGUGGAAGGCCUAUUGUUAGGAGAGAAAUAGUAUAUUCUUAUCAGUGGAUUUAAACAGCUAUUCAUCAUUUCUAAAGGGCAAUUAUUUGGAAUCCAUUAAACUGGAAUUCAUAAUACCCCUGCAUACUGAAUUUUAAAUAGAAAUCUGUAUUUAGAUGAAGGAAUACAUUAGUAUAAGUCAUUAGAGCACUGAAAAUCCAUGACUUGUUCAUUUUUCACUUCUUUUGCAG
rnacentral:lncRNA from 1 species